UACGAAGGGGGCUAGCGUUGCUCGGAAUCACUGGGCGUAAAGGGUGCGUAGGCGGGUUUUUAAGUCAGAGGUGAAAUCCUGGAGCUCAACUCCAGAACUGCCUUUGAUACUGAAAGUCUUGAGUAUGGGAGAGGUGAGUGAACUGCGAGUGUAGAGGUGAAAUUCGUAGAUAUUCGCAAAGAACACCAGUGGCGAAGGCGGCUCACUGGCCCAUUACUGACGCUGAGGCACGAAAGCGUGGGGAGCGAACAGG
rnacentral:rRNA from 1 species